CUUCGCAGUCGCGCCGCGCAACUUGCACUUUUGCAGCUCCCCGACAGGCAUUGGGCACAUUUCGUUUCCCCCAAACGGUCACUCUAGCGGCCACCUUCGAAACAACAACAUCACGCGUCGCGUCUCUCCGUCUUUUUCCUUUUUUUUUUACAUUAGACCACUACGUUCUCCUGGCGUUUCGUUCGUGUCGCGCGUGAUUAAAUUGGCAACUGAGAACAAUAAGAAGAAAUCACAGUGUGCGAGCAACAAACACAACAAUUAGUGUAAACAAAACACCCCGACAACAACAAUCCAAAUUGCAAAAAAGGCAACAAAGAAGAAACGAAAGGCAGGACCUUCGCAGCAAGAGCGAGACAGCAAAGGAUCGGGAUCGGGAGAGAGCGUGAGAGUGCGAGUUGAUCAACGGGAUACAGGGUGACAUGUGGAGUCCGACGCACUGUAGUGUAACGGUGCAGCGAGCGCGUGGGCUGCUCACCAAGGGCAAGAAUGGCACCAACAACUGCUUCGUCACCAUUGCUCUGGGCAAGGAGAAGUACCAGACGUCCGUCAAGGACAAGGCCGAGACGAGCGUCAACUGGAACGAGGAGUGCGAACUGAAAAUUCCCGAUCAGGGUAAUCGCGCCGAGCUCACUUUGACCUGCCUGCACAGGAACAAUCUGGGCAUCGAUGAGUUUCUCGGCCAGGCGACGCUGCCGCUCAACGAGAUGGAUGUGUACGACCGGCCACGCGCCAAGUGGUUCAAGCUGGAGAGCAAGCCCGGCAAGGAGAAGAAGAACAAGGAGCGCGGCGAGCUGGAGGUGCGCAUCGCCUUCGUGGUCAAGUCCGGCUCGCUGACCGAUCUCAGCAAGAAGGACAAGCACAAGUCUUCCAUUGGCCAGCUGGCCAGCUCAGUCGGUGGCAGUCUGUUGUCCAUCGGAAACGGCGAGAAGCGGCGCGGCAUCAAGAAGCUGGCUGGCUCGCUUAGCUCCAAGCUGCACAUUCGCAGCAAGAAGAAGAACCAGGAGGCGGGCGCCGACGAUAGCAGCUCCUUCGGUGGCUCCUUCGCCAGCCUGGGAACGCCCAACAGCUCCAACGGCAGGGGCCAGAAUGGUGGCAGUGGCCGGCGACGUGGCGGCCAGCGGGCGGGCGAAGCCGAUCCCGGCGUGAUCAGCGAGGACGAGGACGAGUUCGUGUUCGACAACCUCUCGCACAAGAGCUCCGGCAGCUCACUGAACAUCCAACGCAGCGGCCUGCAGCCGCCGCCAGUCGGUACGCCCAACUUUACGCCGCGUCACCCAUCGCCCCUGCUGAACAACGGAGUUAGUGGCGUCGGAAGCGGCAGCGCGAAAGGUAAGCAAGCGGUAUUGCCAGCGACGCUUGAUGAGGAUGCGUCCAUUGACGCGGAGAUGGAACAGCUUGAGCUAGAUUUCAGUGUUCGUGCCCACGCCCGCGCCAACGCUAACGCCAGCGCCAGCGGCAAUGCCAGCACCCUGCCGCCUCCCUCGAAACCACCGCGCAUUCCCCUGUCGCAGGUGGACGAGCAGCCGGCUGCCGGGAGUCUGGAGCGGGAAAAGCCAAAGGAGAAGCCAGCCGAGGUGGAGAGCGACAAGGACGAGUGGGCGUCAAAGUUGUAUGGCGGUGGAAAGUACCUGGAGAUCGGUAGCAGUAACUCAUUGAAACGCCGCAGCUGGGAGGACCGAGUUCCACUCCCCGCCAGUGUCGAGGAGCCGCCGUCAUUGCACUCGUCCAGUUCGUCGUCCAGUUCGGAUAGCGAUGACGACGACGAGAAUCCACCGGAGACAGCUCCCCCACCAGUACCCGUGCCGGCUUCUCUACCAGUUCCAUCUGCUGCUGCUGCUGCAGGUACUGCUACUGUUACUGCUUCUGCUGAGCCAGUGGUGGCUACUUCAUCGUCGCUCUUCUCCCCCGACGUGGAGCACCGCAACUUUGAUACCUUCAACGCUAGUUUCGCCAAGUACGAGCAGCGAAACAGCACUGCUAUUUUUGCAGAUGAGCCCGAACUGGAAGACCUAACAGUGGAGCUUGAGAAGCCGGUGCCCACUCCCACAGCACGCCCCAAACCGCAGCCACGUGCUAUGGCCGAUCUGAGGGCGGAGGAGGAGAAGGCUAAGGAAGAGGCUGCACGGCAACUGCGUGCCGAGGAGGAUGCCCGCUUGGAGGCGGAGCUGCGUCUGAAUGAGGAGCGCCUGCGCGAAGAAGAGGAGGCUAUGCAGCGAGAGCUGGAGGAAGAGAAGGAGCGCCAAAAGCAGCUGCAGAUGGAUGAGCAGCAGCGGCGUGAGGCCAAGCGCUGGGAAGAAGACCAACGGCUCUUGAGCUUUGCCAAGCGAUCCACAUCCCUCGAGGAGCCGGUCCCAGAGAAGCAGGAGCUUAAGCAUGCGAGGGAGCUCGUGGCCAAGCAGGAGCCGGAGGAAACGCUGGAUACGGCAGAGCCAGAGCCGGAGCACAACUUCCUAACGCCCGAACAGUCGCCCAAGGAGUUCCAGACGAAUGGCAGUGGCAGAGGCAGCGGGGAUCGCUGGGAGAAACGACUGGGCAAAUUCAAAUACGGCAACAAGCGAGAUAAAUACAACAACGACAACGACAGCAACUCGCCCAGUCCCAAGUCCACGGAGCGCAUCAUAAUUGGUCACGAGAAGUCGGGAUCGCAUGCGGAUCGCCGCUCGGAGAUAUCCGCCCAGCUGGCCAAGAAAUACGAGGGCAAGUCGCGCGAGGAACUAAUGCUAAUUGCCAACGGAAUGGAGAACGAGGCUCUGCUGCAGCGGCAGCGCGUGAAGGAACUGGAGGACUAUCUGGACAACCUGCUGCUGCGCGUGAUGGAGACGCACCCGAAGAUCCUGCAGAAUCCAUAUUCGCGCACCACGUCCGCCAAGAGGUACGGCACCUGGUCGUUCUGGUCGUCCUCUCGUACGAGAGCCACGCCCACCCACUAACCAACUGCAUGACCCUGACCGCCGUUAUAAAAAUUACAUCAAUAUGAAUGACUUUCUAAAGUAAGUGCUGCGCAUGCUGCAAGUUGCAUUUAAGUAGACACUUAACCAACAAUCCCCAACAACAACAACAUCACCACCAACAACACCACAACCCCCAACAACAACAACAACAACGACAACCAGAACUGCGAGACACGAGUAACAAGAACUAUAAACACCGCCGGCCGAGAAAGAAGUGAAGGAACCACUGAGGCGGGAUCGAACGGCUAAACAAACAGCCAAACUGGCCGACGCCAGCAACCGGUUCACUUAUCGCCGAGCAGCUGGAGAAGAUCUGCGGAGGCUGCUCCGGAAGCUGUUGAGUCGAAACGAAUCGAAACACCACGUUGCCUUUGCCGCGAGCAGCAAAAUUCAAGUGCUUUCUAAAACGUAUUGCUAAGAGGGAAACUAAGUGUACGCGUAAAACAGUUAGGCUUAAGGAUUGCAAAAUCUAUAUUGAUAUUUUAUUGUGUGUAGCAUUCGUACUUUUUCAUUUAGAAAUCCCCCCCCUCCCCCCCACACACACACACACUAAACAGAACUAAAUUAAUUGUACUAUAUGUUUAUCCUGGCAAUUGACGCGAUUUGCUUGUCAAUUGAUUGAAAUUAUCCGAAAGUAUUGUGUUUGUUUUUUUUGUAUGACCCACUUUUUUUUUUUAGUGUUGUGCGACAAGAGUUUGAGAAGUUUUUGUAAAGUGCUGCCUGGGAAGUGGCCUUAGUGAAUUAAGUGAAUUAAAUUAUUUAUGUUUUAGCGGUUAAGCGAAAAGUGGGAAAGGGGGAACACCCACGUGUGUCCCCCGC
rnacentral:misc_RNA from 1 species